rnacentral:tRNA from 1 species
UUAUAAUUAAUAUAAAAAGUAUAUUUAAUUUCCAAUUAAAAAGUUUUUCUUAGCAAAUUAUUUUAGA